rnacentral:tRNA from 4 species
GGCCCCGAACAUGUCGGACUGCAAACCCGGCCUCGGCUCUUUGCCCGGGGCUU